CUUUCGGAAACGCCACAGCUGCCGCCACCCCGAGGGUGGUGCAGCCAUAAACAGCAGACGAGACCCUCCACCAGCAAAAAGAUUAUGGCUCCCGAAAGCUCAGAGGAUGGUAAGCAUUUUUCAGAAACAGAGUAUUUUCUGAUUGCAGUAUGAACAUUGUUUUUAGACACACCGGCUGCACGCUCCAUAGGCCGCAGUACCCUGUGAACGUCACUCUCACGUGCGCCGGGAAACCAGAGUGCUCUUCCACUCACUUCGCUGCAGUACUCGCUGGACUGCUGUGAUCUGGAACCAGACCCACAGUAUCUCCAAGUGCUGUGAUGGCUACUGCGUGUGAGAGCAGAAAUGAAGAAAAGCGGUUGCCAUGGGAGCACAAGCAGCAGAGACAAGCCGCGGGGCCUGGGCUCACACGCAGAUCAAUGACAGUCUUCUCUUCCGUGUCUGCAGGAAGAUCUCUCAGCGAAUGAAGCAAGCGCUUCGCAAGACAGUCGCGUCUUAAAGUUCAAAAGUGGACAUCCCUCGGCCUUGGAGCACGGCG